AUUGAACGCUGGCGGCAUGCCUUACACAUGCAAGUCGAACGGUAACGCGGGGCAACCUGGCGACGAGUGGCGAACGGGUGAGUAAUGCAUCGGAACGUGCCCAGAAGUGGGGGAUAGCCCGGCGAAAGCCGGAUUAAUACCGCAUGAGACCUGAGGGUGAAAGCGGGGGAUCGCAAGAUCUCGCGCUAUUGGAGCGGCCGAUGUCAGAUUAGCUAGUUGGUGGGGUAAAGGCCUACCAAGGCGACGAUAUGUAGCUGGUCUGAGAGGACGACAAGCCACACUGGGACUGCGACACGGCCCGGACUCCGACGGGAGGCAGCAGUGGGGAAUUUUGGACAAUGGGCGCAAGCCUGAUUCAGCCAUGCCGCGUGCGGGAAGAAGGCCUUCGGGUUGUAAACCGCUUUUGUCAGGGAAGAAACGCUCUGGGCUAAUACCCUGGGGUAAUGACGGUACCUGAAGAAUAAGCACCGGCUAACUACGUGCCAGCCGCCGCCGUAA
rnacentral:rRNA from 1 species